UAGUGAUCCGGUGGUUCUGAAUGGAAGGGCCAUCGCUCAACGGAUAAAAGGUACUCCGGGGAUAACAGGCUGAUACCGCCCAAGAGUUCAUAUCGACGGCGGUGUUUGGCACCUCGAUGUCGGCUCAUCACAUCCUGGGGCUGAAGUAGGUCCCAAGGGUACGGCUGUUCGCCGUUUAAAGUGGUACGCGAGCUGGGUUUAGAACGUCGUGAGACAGUUCGGUCCCUAUCUGCCGUGGGCGUUGGAAGAUUGAAAGGGGCUGCUCCUAGUACGAGAGGACCGGAGUGGACGCACCACUGGUGUUCGGGUUGUCAUGCCAAUGGCAUUGCCCGGUAGCUAAGUGCGGAAGAGAUAACCGCUGAAAGCAUCUAAGCGGGAAACUUGCCUUGAGAUGAGUCUUCCCUGACCCUUUAAGGGUCCUAAAGGAACGUUUAAGACUAAGACGUUGAUAGGUUGGGUGUGUAAGCAUAGCGAUAUGUUGAGCUAACCAAUACUAAUGAACCGUGAGGCUUAACCUGACAACACCGAAGG
rnacentral:rRNA from 1 species